rnacentral:rRNA from 1 species
UACGAGGGGUGCAAGCGUUGCUCGGAAUUAUUGGGCGUAAAGGGUAGGUAGGUGGUCUCGUUUGUCUGGGGUGAAAGCCUUGAGCUUAACUCAAGAAGUGCCCUAGAAACGGCGAGACUAGAGUCCUGGAGAGGGUCGUGGAAUUCCCGGUGUAGCGGUGAAAUGCGUAGAGAUCGGGAGGAACACCAGAGGCGAAGGCGGCGACCUGGACAGGUACUGACACUCAACUACGAAAGCGUGGGGAGCAAACAGG